AAGAAAACAAUGCAUGGUGUUGAUAGAAAACUAAAUUAAAAUGAAUUUAAAGUAUUAGGGAUAAUUUAUAAAACAAUAACAAUAAAAAGGACCAAUAUGCGGCGCGUGCAAAUGCGUAGAGACUCAAACUGGAAAUAAUCCAGCUCCCAAAAAGCAGUGCUCAAACGCGGAUCCAUUUGCAAACGAAUGUAAAUUACAGGGCCAAAUUAAAAGAGUAAAUAAAACAAAUGGUAUGUGGUUGAACGACCGCACAAAGAAGAAGGACCCAACGCGAAAUUAACCCUUUUAAAACAAAGAGGCGCGGAUCCAACCUAUCCAACGGGUCAACACACGGAUCCCCCCCCUCUUUUGGACGGCGUCGUUUCAAGCAAAGGUUUUAAAACCUUUUUCCUUUCUUUUUCAAAUGCAGCCACCCUCUUCCCCUUUCCAAAGAAUAUCAGAAGAAAAAAAAAAAAGAACCCCAAAAGCCAUUACCACCGUUCAACUGACCCCAAAACCUGAGCAAAUAACCCUUCACCACUGCGAUUCGAUGGAGAUUAACAUGCGCGUACUUCAACUAGAGUCUUAACUCAAGACCCAUCAAUUUCAGCCCUUAGAACUCUCAUCCCAAACUUCAAUUUCGGCAAAGGGGACAAGAAUUCCGAUGGCUUAUUCUUCUCUUCUUUUAUUUUUUUUAUAUUCAAGCCAUAUGCAAAAUCAAAAGAGAGAAACAUACAUAAAAAAGGGAUCGAGAAUCACCUCUUAAUUUUUUCAAUUUUUUUGUUGUAUUCAAUAUGUUUUUUUUUGUGGGUAUAUCGCCUCCGUUUUUUUUUACAAUGAAAAGGUUUUGUUGGCUUUAUAGCCGAACAAUCAAAAAAUAAAAAUAAAAAUACAAGCCCUCCUUUUUUGCUAUUCCAUUGUUUUUUUGUUCCCAUUUGCUGUUGUUUUCUUGUCUGUUUGCAGGUGUGCGUGGCGCGUGGAGGUGUACGGCGUACGGAGGCGCUGGAGGCUUGUACGGCGCUGGAAGUCAGGGUUGCGGUGCUCCUUGCUGCUAGGGUUUGGCUGUUUGGCUAAACUUAGGUUUAGGUUUUUGGGUCAUUAGGCUCCAUUGUAAAUGGGUAUCUAGGUUUGAUUUUUGAUUAUUGGGCCCGGGCAGAUUUGGCCCAUUACAAUAUAUUAUUAUGUUUUUUAAAUCUGUUACAUAUAUGACUUGUGGAAAAAUUAAUUUAGUCUCAUAUACAUUAUUAAUUUCAUGCAAAUUUUUUACAACUAAUAAUUCCCAAAUCCAUUUAUAUAUAUAUAUUUUGUGAACCUAUUAUGUAUUUUUCUUGAAGUUAUAUCGUAUCCUUGCUAUACUUUCACAUUCUACAUAUUAUUUGAUAUUAAAUGUAUCCAUUUUUCGUUAUUAAGUGUAUUUUAAUAAACAUUUUU
rnacentral:lncRNA from 1 species